AAUCUAUUGUCAUGCCUCUGUGCAAGGCUUAGUCUUUCUAUCUUUAUGGCAUCUGGUGUAAAGUAACUAAAUUCAUAAACUCAAGUACUAUAGCCUACACUCUAAAAAAUGCUGGGUUAUUUCUAUAAACACAUUGCUGGGUUGAUUUGUCUGGGUCAUAAUUAUGGGUUAUUUGGGUACUGUAAACACACUGGUGGGUUGUUCAUGCUGGGUCAAAGGGGUUAUUAGGGCUUCAAUUGCAGUUGAACACCUGCCUGGGUUAUUUUUAACCCAGAGGUUGCUUUAUUCAUUUUCCCACUUCUGAAUCAUUCUGGAACCAUCUUUUUGUCAUUUCUCACAACACAAGGGAACCUAUAUUUUAUCUAUAUUUAUAUAAUUAUACAAUUCUGUAACUUGUUGAAUCACUAGUAACUAGGUGAUUUUGAAAAACCACUACAACCACAACAGUGAUUUUGCAAAACCACUAAUCAGCCAGUGAUUUCACAGAAUCACCAGUGUUCUUGCACACUGCUUCUGAAAGAAAAUGGGUUGUUUUAACUCAAACAUUUAAAAAAGUUAAUUCACCGCUAAUUUUCUGAUGACUAUGAACUGAUUUUUAAUAUUGUGUAUACAGUGUUCAACCACUUAGGGUCAUAUUGGUAAUAGUACUCAAACAUUUUUACUGAAUCUGUCUGACGCUGGUCUGACGUCAUCACGUAUGUGCUCCGCCCCCGACGUGCCUAGACGCCCAUGCCUUCACCAGAGUCCGCCAUUAGCCCCUCGCCUCUGUUGAAGUCGCUCAGACUUUUAAGAAUACUUUGCCCACCGUGCCGGAAUCGUGAUCUUUUUUUUUGGCCGCACUACUCUGGAAACUGACGCAACUGGCAGAUAUAUGGCUUCUUCAAUCUGUUAAUGCAGACUACCUUUGCCCUGCGGCGCAAUGAGAUCAUCAAUGAUGAGCUACCUGUUGGAGAGAUCCUGGAACGCUGGCCUGCCUUGAAAAUGGAGUCACAGAGUUUCACAGGAUAACAAACCUCAACCUGAAGAACCACUUCUAUGCGGACAGGGCUCGACAUUAAGGACUGCCCGAUGGCCCGGGGCCAUCUAGUAUUUAGCUCGGGCAAUGAAGCCUGACCUGCUGGUUGCCCGAUCGGGCAAUCUAUUGUGCCAGUAUCAUGCAGCUU